rnacentral:misc_RNA from 1 species
UCUCCGCUUGCGCGGGCAGUCUUUCUAGAGUUCCCACCAUUACGUGCUGGCAACUAACCACAGGGGUUGCGCUCGUUAUAGGACUUAACCUGACACCUCACGGCACGAGCUGACGGCAACCAUGCAGCACCUUGUAACUUGCCCGAAGGAAAAGGUGUUUCCACCCCUGUCAAGCUACAUUUAAGCCCUGGUAAGGUUCCUCGCGUAUCAUCGAAUUAAACCACAUGCUCCACCGCUUGUGCAGGCCCCCGUCAAUUUCUUUGAGUUUUAACCUUGCGGCCGUACUCCCCAGGCGGAUGACUUAACGCGUUAGCUGCGCCACCGAAACGCUAAGCGCCCCGACAGCUAGUCAUCAUCGUUUACGGCGUGGACUAC